rnacentral:rRNA from 1 species
AACGGACGCUGGCGGCGUGGAUUAGGCAUGCAAGUCGAGCGAGAAAGGGUAGCAAUAUCCGAGUAAAGCGGCGACCUGGUGAGUAACAGGUGGGUAACGUACCCUAAAGUGGGGGAUAACGCCGGGAAACCGGUGCUAAUACCGCAUAUGGCCCUUUUUGACCGAGGUUGAAGGGGUUAAAGGCUUCGGCCGCUAUAGGAUCGGCCCGUCCCCGAUUAGCUAGUUGGUGGGGUAAUGGCCUACCAAGGCUACGAUCGGUAGCUGGUCUGAGAGGAUGGUCAGCCACACUGGGACUGAGAUACGGCCCAGACUCCUACGGGAGGCAGCAGUCUAGAGGCUUCGGCAAUGGGGGAAACCCUGACCGAGCGACGCCGCGUGCGGGAUGAAGGCCUUACGGU